rnacentral:misc_RNA from 1 species
CGUUGGUGAACCAGCGGAGGGAUCAUUACCGAGUUCUUUACUCAUCACCCUUUGUGAACCAUUAUACCUGUUGCUUCGGCGGCGCGCCUCCCCCGGGAGCGUGCCCGCCGGUCUCAUCAGCAUCUCUGUUUGAACCCGACGUUACCUCUGAGUGUUCUAAGCGAACUAUCAAAACUUUCAACAACGGAUCUCUUGGCUCUAGCAUCGAUGAAGAACGCAGCGAAACGCGAUAAGUAGUGUGAAUUGCAGAAUUCAGUGAAUCAUCGAAUCUUUGAACGCACAUGGCGCCCCCUGGCAUCCCGGGGGGCAUGCCUGUCCGAGCGUCGUUUCAACCCUCGAGCCCUCGUGGCCCGGCGUUGGGGCCCUACGCGCCUCCCGGCAGUAGGCCCCGAAAAGCAGUGGCGGUCCCGUGUGGUCCUCUCCUUUGCGCAGUAGCAUUCGCCUCGCAUUGGGAGCCCGCGGCGUGCCGGCCUCGAAACCCCCUCAAGUCCGCUCCGGCGGCACC